UACAGAGGUCCCAAGCGUUAGGCGGAAUCACUGGGCUUAAAGCGUGUGUAGGCGGAUGCCUAAGUACCUUGUGAAAUCCCACGGCUUAACCGUGGAACUGCUUGGUAUACUGGGUGUCUUGAGCCAUCUAGGGGCCUGCGGAACAAACGGUGGAGCGGUGAAAUGCGUAGAUAUCGCUUGGAACGCCGAAGGUGAAAACAGGCUGCUGGGGUUGUGCCGACGCUGAGACACGAAAGCCAGGGGAGCAAACGGG
rnacentral:rRNA from 1 species